rnacentral:rRNA from 1 species
AGUGAACGCUGGCGGUAGGCCUAACACAUGCAAGUCGAACGGCAGCACAGUAAGAGCUUGCUCUUACGGGUGGCGAGUGGCGGACGGGUGAGGAAUACAUCGGAAUCUACUUUUUCGUGGGGGAUAACGUAGGGAAACUUACGCUAAUACCGCAUACGACCUACGGGUGAAAGCAGGGGAUCUUCGGACCUUGCGCGAUUGAAUGAGCCGAUGUCGGAUUAGCUAGUUGGCGGGGUAAAGGCCCACCAAGGCGACGAUCCGUAGCUGGUCUGAGAGGAUGAUCAGCCACACUGGAACUGAGACACGGUCCAGACUCCUACGGGAGGAAGCAGGGGGGAAUUUUGGACAAUGGGCGAAAGCCUGACCCAGCCAUACCGGGGGGGUGAAGAAGGCCUUCGGGUUGUAAAGCCCUUUUGUUGGGAAAAAAAAGCAGCAGGUUAAACCCCCGCUGUUCUGACGGUACCAAAAGAAUAAGCACCGGCUAACUUCGU